CAAUAGCGUAUAUUAACGUUGUUGCAGUUAAAAAGCUCGUAGUUGGAUUUCUGGAGGGAGCGUCGACCCGUAUUUACGAGUGCGUGACGUCUCUGUCCAUCCUUGCGGGAAGGCACGGCAUUGAUUUGUUGUGUCGGAUCGCAUCAUUUACUGUGAAAAAAUUAGAGUGUUCAAAGCAGGCUUUCGCUUGAAUACAUUAGCAUGGAAUAAUGAGAUAGGACUUUGGUGCUAUUUUGUUGGUUGAGCCUAAAGUAAUGAUUAAUAGGGAUAGUUGGGGGCACCUGUAUUGCGUUGUCAGAGGUGAAAUUCUUGGAUUUACGCAAGACAAACAGCUGCGAAAGCGUCCGCCAAGGAUGUUUNCAUUA
rnacentral:rRNA from 1 species